UAAAACCUCAGACUUGUCCUGCAACCUCCUGGUCUCCGUUUUUGCCUCUAUAAAGUGGGCAUAACAAGGUCUGACUCACUGACCUGGGGUCUCAGGUGUGGCGCCCAAACCAGCACUAUCAGCAUUUCCUGUAACUUUACUAAAACGCAUAUUUUCUGGCCCCACUACAGCUCAUUGAAUCAGAAACUCAGUGGUGGGAUUCAGCGAUUUGUAUUUGAACAAGCCCCAGGUGAUUUUGAUACAAGCUAAAUUUUGAGAACCACUAUAUAAUAGAGACCAAUCAGAUGAAAUAAAUCAAACCAUUAUAUAGUAAAGAACCUGGCUCAAUAAAUAGUAGUUGUGGUUAUUAUUAUUUCAGGAAUAGACAGGCAUUCAUUGGCACAGAAAUUGAAGGUUAAGCAAAUGCUUCUUUCCUUUUCUUUUUCUUUUUUUUUUCUUUUUUUGAAACAGUGUUUUUCACACUUGUUGCCCAGGCCACCGCAACCUCCGCCUCCUGGGUUCAGCCUCCUGUCUCAAGCCCCGCGAGUAGCUGAGAUUACAGGCAUGUACGACCACGUUUGGCUAAUUUUGUAUUUUUAGUAGAGACGGAGUUUCUCCAUGUUUGUCAGGCUGUUCUCGAACUCCUGACAUCAGUUGAUCUGCCCGACUUGGCCUCCCAAAGUGCUGGGAUUACACGCAUGAGCCACUGCGCCCCACCCUUUUCUUUUCUUUCAUGCAGGUCAGUAUAGUCUUGCUUUAAAAAACUGAAAACAAAAUAAAUAUCCAUAUGAUUUGGAUAUUUAUCCCCUCCAAAUCUCAUGUUAAAAUAGAUUCCCCAAUGUUGGAGGUAGGGCUUGGUGCGAGGUGUUUGGAUUAUGGGGGUGGAUCCCUCAUGAAUGGCUUGGUGCUUUCCUGGCAGAGUGAACUCUACCUCUGAGCUCAUGAAAGAUCUGGUUGUUUAAGAGUAGACACCUCCCCUUUCUCUCUAUUGUUCCGUCUCUUACCAUGUGACACACUG
rnacentral:lncRNA from 10 species